rnacentral:lncRNA from 10 species
CUUGUGAAUAAUACUUUCAGUUCAUUUUAUUUCUAUUAAGUUUUCAAAAACAAUUUGGUUUUUAUGUGAACCAGAAUGAUUUUAUCAAGUCAAUUUAUAAUUAUAAGGGACAAAUAACAACAUAGAAAUGCGUAAUGUAAAUGAACUAGCCAAACGUUUCCAAACAUAAGACAACCUUGUGAAUAUAUGCAUGUAAACAGACUGAAAUAAAUAGGGAAAAGCAAUAUCAGGAAAAGUAUUAAGGAGGGAUAUUUAAUCUAUUCCAUUUAAAAUAACCUUUAAAGUCUUUAUGUUAUGAUCUUUAACAAAUAAAACAUACAUUCAAAAAGAUUUUUUAAAAGUCAUUCUGUAACUAGGAGACAAUAUGAUUUUCAAGUAGUUUGUCAUCUAAUUAUGGUUUUACUUCACUAUGGAGUACUCUGACCUCAACCUUCCCCAGAGGUUAUUUUGUUGGUUUCACUCUGCUAAACACAGCUGGAUGACCCAUUUUUUUUAAUUAUUAGGUUUUAUUUUUAGAACAGUUUUAGAUUUCAUUAACAGUUGGGAAAAUAGUGUGAAAGUUCCAUAUACACAGCUCCAU